UCAUAAUGCAUUAUAUAUAAUUGGAACCAUUUGUCUAUAGAGUCUGUGCCAAACUACUAUCAUUUAAUAACAUACAAAUGGUUAUUAAAAGAGCACUGCUGCGAUUUAAAGUUUGGGGGAGGGCCUUGUGAAAGAGAUAUAUAAAAGAAAUGGCAAAAAUCAAAGCAGCCGAGGCCAAAAUAUCCUGACCUCUAGUCCUUCGUAUGGUUCAGGCUCAGAAAACACUAGAACUAUCAUUCCCACAAUGCAACCCUGAUAAAUCUUCUCGUCUUUCAACAUCCACACCCCAAGUUAGUAACAAAAAGAAAAAAAUGCCUAGUAUUAAAGUCCAACCCCUGCAAAUCCAUGUUAAAAUGGCAAAGUGCACCUUUAAAGAGUUGUACAUUUUCAACGGAAGUCCCUCCUGCUUCACAGUGAGCUGGACUAAAGUACACACCUAUUUACAAAGCUUUUCUUGGCAUCUUAGCCAUCUUAAUUAUGCAGUUUAAUUGUUCCAAAUAAAAAUGGGAACUACUGGUUCUGCUCCAGGAAAUUAUAUCUUCCUUAUGUUCCAAGGAGUGUACCAAGCCAGGGACUCAUUUCCUUGCAAGCUUUUAAAUCCAUUCUAAUAGAAUUGUACUCAAGCUGAUCUUGCUCUGUUCAUCCAUUUUAUGUAUUUAUUUUUGAAGCAUUUUUAUCUACUAUAUAUUUGUUUUUAUAUCACUUGUUAUGUUAUCUUAUUUCAUCUGCGUGAGUCUUGUGAACGUUGAUUCAUUAUAAGUCUGCGCUAUAUGUUUUGAAACCUCUGUGUUUUUCUAUGUGGUGCUGCUCCCUUGGCCAGAAUGCCUUUUCCUGGUUAUAUGUGAUUAUAAUUACUAUUAUUAAGCUGAGAGGUGGAAAGACAUCCCUGCUGUGGACACUUGAAAAUUAAUAGAGUAUUCUUUGUCCUGCUGGUUUUUAUUUUGGACAACAUAGGCUGUGAACGCAUGGCUCUCUAAACUUGAUUGCUGAAGCUUCCUUAAAUGCACCGGCAAGACAGAUUUCUUCACAGUUCGUGCACUGGCAGGACAUAAUACUCAAUUUCUGACAUAACAAUUGAGGAAUAGAUAAAGUAUUCACAGCAGAUGGAUCACCUGUCUUUAUGCUAAGUCCAAAUGAGAAUACUGCAGUGCAUAGCUACACUGGCAAAGUCAAACUGUGUUUAACAAGUUCAGUUUCACUGUCCUUCGUAACCUUCACACAAGUAGUUUCAACAAACCCCCGAACUCGAUGAGCAGCAGCCUGCGUAUGGUGUGUGAUUAUGCAACCUGUGAUUGAGAUAGGAAUUUGGGAACACAAAGCAGAGUGCCAGCCAAACAAAGGGACAUCAUUAACACAGCGGGAACACUGGGACGCUAUUGACUCAGCAACAGGGUGAAACCAGGGCAAGAGGAUGAGCCUGCCAACCAAACUGUUCACAGAGAGAGUGUCUGUGUGUAUGUUUGGAUGUGCGUGAGUCAAAAAGAGAGAGACAACAAGGCAGGGAGCUGUGACUGAAAUAUGAGAAACAGAAGAGAUAUGAGAAACGCAUACGGCAGAGAGAAAGUGAGGCCAGAGUGAAAAAUGAAACAGAAGGGGGCGUAGAGACAGCAGGGAGGGAUACGCAGGGGUAGGAGGCGAGGGUGACGAGUACAGUGCGGCUAAAUGUUUGUUCGAGUGUGUGUGCCAAGGGAGGGCCCAUCAGUGCGCGGUACAGUGAUGGUUGUUACACUGCAGAGGGAAGCUGAGAAGCCGAUACAGCCUUAAGGAUUUCUGUCAGAGCCACGAAUGUUACCUACGUGACAGCUGCUAUGACCGGCGACACAAAGACUGACAUCAUCACCCCACUCGCCACAGUCAAGUAGUGCUUGCUUCCUGAGAUACUGUUUUUCUUACAGCGACCAUGGACCUGGACGAUUGGUAUGCCCACAAUGAUGACAGGAAUGGCGAUGCCCGCUAUAAGGGAGAUGACCACCGGUGCUCCGAGCAACAUGCCCACCUGCCACAGUACCUUGCGGGUCUGCGACCAUGGCUUCUUCCCCCAGAAUGUACAUCCUGAGGGGCUGAGACACAACGGGGGAGAUCACCAAAGAGUUCAAAGUAUUACCAUGCACAAAGUUCAAGAAAAAAAAUGUAUCCUAUGGAUCUCAGUCUUUCUGUUGUUCAGUCUACUACUACUGAAUGGUUCCCCGGGACAUUUUGCACAGACACAUGGUUCCGAGAGGAUGAAUCCUAAUAACUCUGAUGAUCCCCUGACCUUUUCUUCAGACACCACCACCAGUGUGCCUAAAUGUCAUGGCUUUAGACUCUUAGUCUUGUUAUCGCCUUAUUAGCAGAGAUUUUUGGUUUUAUCCAAACUUCAUACUUAGCAUAUAUAGUGUGUACAUGGACAUAGGCCCACCAUCGUCUCCAAAGCUAUGACCACAAAAGCAUCAUCAUCAUGUGUAGGUCAUGACCUCUCACACAACUUCAACCAACUCUGGCACACCAUAAAAACUUCUGAAUGAUUAUUUUUUAAGAAACUAGUGAAAUAAAUAAGUAGUGACAACAACAUGACAACAUUAGCGGGUUAUCUUAUUGCUGUCAUUACAUCAUUUCCCAAAUUGAAUGAUCUCAUCUGCAUUUAUCUUUUUUUUUUCUCCCUGAAUUAUAGUCAUUUGCAACUACAAUUCACAUACUAUUUCCUGUUUUUCUUGCAUGCUGCUGUUAGAGAAAUGGAAAUGCCUGGUUAUUUAAGUCUGUUUACGAGGAGUAGAUAUUCUGUAACCUGAUAUGACUUUAGGUUCAAUAAAUGUCGCCUUAGGUGCUACUUUAAUCUAG